CUUGUUAUCAUUUUGUGGUUCUUUUGUUUACUGCUCUUAUUACCUUUUGAAAAUAUUCUUAGAAUUUUAGUAAUUUGUUUUUAGUGAAAUGCUUAUUUUAAAUUUUAGGUUUAUUUAUUUUAGAUUUAAUUCAUUUAGAAUUUUAGAUUAAUAUUUGUUGAGGAAGUUGUUGCUCAUGUAUUGUUAUAACGAAUUUGUUUCUAUGCUUGGGCCAUCAUUUUGGGCCCUAU
rnacentral:lncRNA from 1 species